AACGAACGCUGGCGGCAGGCUUAACACAUGCAAGUCGAACGAGCUGGGGGCUUCGGUCCCCGAUGCUAGUGGCGCACGGGUGAGUAACACGUGGGAAUAUGCCCUUUAUUACGUAGUAACAAAUGCAAACUUUGGCUAUUACCGUAUACUCCCUCCGGGUGAAGGAUUUAUCGGUAAAGAAUUAGCCCGCGUCUGAUUAGGUAGUUGGGGAGGAAAUGGCUAACCAAGCCGACGAUGAGUAGCUGGUCUGAGAGGAUGAUCAGCCACACUGGGAUUGAGACACGGACCAGACUCCUACGGGAGGGAGCAGUGGGGAAUAUUGGACAAUGGGGGCAACCCUGAUCCAGCCAUGCCGCGUGAGUGAAGAAGGCCUUCGGGUUGUAAAGCUCUUUCGGCGGGGACGAUGAUGACGGUACCCGUAUAAGAAGCCCCGGCAAACUUCGUG
rnacentral:rRNA from 1 species